rnacentral:rRNA from 1 species
UGGGGAAUCUUCGGCAAUGGGCGCAAGCCUGACCGAGCCAUGCCGCGUGAGCGAUGAAGGCCUUAGGGUUGUAAAGCUCUUUCGCCAGGGAAGAUAAUGACGGUACCUGGUAAAGAAACCCCGGCUAACUCCGUGCCAGCAGCCGCGGUAAUACGGAGGGGGUUAGCGUUGUUCGGAAUUACUGGGCGUAAAGCGCGCGUAGGCGGGCUGAAAAGUUGGGGGUGAAAUCCCGGGGCUCAACCCCGGAACUGCCUUCAAAACUAUCAGCCUAGAGUUCGAGAGAGGUGAGUGGAACUCCGAGUGUAGAGGUGAAAUUCGUAGAUAUUCGGAAGAACACCAGUGGCGAAGGCGGCUCACUGGCUCGAUACUGACGCUGAGGUGCGAAAGUGUGGGGAGCAAACAGGAUUAGAUACCCCCGUAGUCC